AACGCUCCGGCGAGAAGAAAAGGCUAGGGAUCCAAGAGUAAUCCAAUUCGGAGUAAACCUUCGGAUUUAAGAUACAGGUGUUAGAGAUCCUCAAUAGGCGCAUCGUUGAAGAUCAUUUCUUUUCAGCUAUUUGGUGAGUCCUUCUUGUAUUCGAAGGAACUCCUUAUCCUUUUAUUAUUGUUGAGUGUGAUGUUUCUUUUGAGGUAGCCAUGGACAUGUCAUUGGCACCAUCUAAGAGUAUUAGAGGCUUCAUAGACAGAGUCUGAUGAUGUAAUCGGAGUAGUUCUCCUUAGAAACUAUUUCUUCUAAGAAUUAUAUAUUUUUCCUUUGAUUAUGACAAUCCCACAUUAGUA